rnacentral:rRNA from 1 species
UACGUAGGUUGCAAGCGUUGUCCGGAAUUAUUGGGCGUAAAGAGCUCGUAGGCGGUCUGUCGCGUCUGCUGUGAAAACUCAGGGCUUAACCCUGAGCUUGCAGUGGGUACGGGCAGACUAGAGUGCGGUAGGGGAGACUGGAAUUCCUGGUGUAGCGGUGAAAUGCGCAGAUAUCAGGAGGAACACCGGUGGCGAAGGCGGGUCUCUGGGCCGUAACUGACGCUGAGGAGCGAAAGCAUGGGGAGCGAACAGG